rnacentral:tRNA from 1 species
GCCUGGGUGGCUCAGUGGGUUGGAGCGUCUGCCUUCGGCUCAGAUCAUGAUCCCAGGGUCCUGGGAACGAACCCUGCACUGGCU